UACAGAGGUGCCAAGCGUUAGGCGGAAUCACUGGGCUUAAAGCGCGCGUAGGCGGAUGUUUAAGUGUCUUGUGAAAUCCCACGGCUCAACCGUGGAACUGCUGGGCAUACUGGACAUCUCGAGGCACUCAGGGGCGAGCGGAACAAGUGGUGGAGCGGUGAAAUGCGUAGAUAUCACUUGGAACGCCAAUGGUGAGGACAGCUCGCUGGGGGUGUCCUGACGCUGAGGCGCGAAAGCCAGGGGAGCAAACGGG
rnacentral:rRNA from 1 species